ACAACAUUCGGACAAUCGGUCUACCGAGCAAUAUCACCCGCCCGGUGGAAGAUCGUCCCUCCGUAGU
rnacentral:pre_miRNA from 1 species